rnacentral:sRNA from 1 species
GUGAGAUCCCUGGAGGGAAAGCCUCUAUUCCACUCAAUAGCCUGCAUUCUUGCUGCUUAUGCAGUACCUUUCGCCACACUGCCCCACCAAUAUACCUCAACCCUGACCUUGGAGGGACUGCAUGGAAGCUAGUUCAAUCUCCAUGUUCAGUCUUUAACAUCC